AGGAAAUAAGUUGACAAGUGACCAUUUGUGGUUAAUAUUUGUUUCUCUUGUUCUUUCUCUCCUACUAACCCAAGAUUCUUGUUCAGACACAUACACUCACUUUGGAACUACAAAGAGGAAUUCAGAAGUCAUGUCACAUACCUGGCUCAUGAACUUCAUCAGGUGUGAAGUGUCAUGGAACAAGAUGCAAUAGAGAACAAGAGAAUGAGAACAAGAAACCAGUUAUUUGACCAGCAACUUAAAUGGCUUUGGGCAAAGAGAAGAUUAAGAGGUUUUACAGGGGACAGUACAACUUCUACAGAGGCUCUUUCUUGCCCCUAGAAGCCUCACGAGAGAAGGUCUCCAUAAAAGAAGAAUGUAUUACCACUGCCUUGGGGUUUGAUCCCAAGUCCACUGCAUAAUGCACGAUGAGAAGAGAAGAAUUCAGAAGUCAUGUCACAUACCUGGUUCAUGAACUUCAUCAGG